rnacentral:rRNA from 1 species
UACGUAGGGUGCGAGCGUUGCCCGGAUUUAUUGGGCGUAAAGGGCGCGUAGGCGGCCACGCACGUCCGUUGUGAAAUCGCCCGGCUCAACUGGGCGGGGUCGGCGGAUACGGCGUGGCUGGAGCAAGCUAGGGGGCAAUGGAAUUCCCGGUGUAGUGGUGGAAUGCGUAGAUAUCAGGAAGAACACCAAUUGCGAAGGCAGCUCGCUGGGACGUCACUGACGCUGAGACGCGAAAGCGUGGGGAGCAAACAGG